AUUGAACGCUGGCGGCAGGCUUAAAACAUGCAAGUCGAGCGGUAACAGGGAGAAGCUUGCUUCUCUGCUGACGAGCGGCGGAGGGGUGAGUAAUGCCUAGGAAUCUGCCUAGUAGAGGGGGAUAACUUGCCGAAAGGUAAGCUAAUACCGCAUACGUCCUACGGGAGAAAGGAGGGGACCUUCGGGCCUUUCGCUAUUAGAUGAGCCUAAGUCGGAUUAGUUAUUUGGUGAGGUAAUGGCUAACCAAGACCGCGAUCCGUAACUGGUCUGAGAGGAUGAUCAGACAAACUGGAACUGAGACAAGGUCCAGACUACUACGGGAGGCAGCAGUGGGGAAUAUUGGACAAUAGGGGGAACCCUGAUCCAGCAAUGCCGCGUGUGUGAAGAAGGUCUUAGGAUUGUAAAGCACUUUAAGUUGGGAGGAAGAGCAGUUAACUAAUAUUUGACUGUUUUGACGUUACCGACAGAAUAAGCACCGGCUAACUUCGUGCCAGCCGCCGCCGUAA
rnacentral:rRNA from 1 species